GAGUUUGAUCAUGGCUCAGAACGAACGCUGGCGGCAUGCCUAACACAUGCAAGUCGAACGAGACCUUCGGGUCUAGUGGCGCACGGGUGCGUAACGCGUGGGAAUCUGCCCUUGGGUUCGGAAUAACUUCGGGAAACUGAAGCUAAUACCGGAUGAUGUCGUAAGACCAAAGAUUUAUCGCCCAAGGAUGAGGCCCGCGUAGGAUUAGCUAGUUGGUGAGGUAAAGGCUCACCAAGGCGACGAUCCUUAGCUGGUCUGAGAGGAUGAUCAGCCACACUGGGACUGAGACACGGGCCCAGACUCCUACGGGAGGCAGCAGUGGGGAAUAUUGGACAAUGGGCGAAAGCCUGAUCCAGCAAUGCCGCGUGAGUGACGAAGGCCCUAGGGUUGUAAAGCUCUUUUACCCGGGAUGA
rnacentral:rRNA from 1 species